UACGUAGGGUGCAAGCGUUAAUCGGAAUUACUGGGCGUAAAGCGCACGUAGGCGGAUCGUUAAGUCGGGGGUGAAAUCCUGGAGCUCAACUCCAGAACUGCCUUCGAUACUGGCGAUCUCGAGUCCGGAAGAGGUGAGUGGAACUCCUAGUGUAGAGGUGGAAUUCGUAGAUAUUAGGAAGAACACCAGUGGCGAAGGCGGCUCACUGGUCCGGUACUGACGCUGAGGUGCGAAAGCGUGGGGAGCAAACAGG
rnacentral:rRNA from 1 species